GCCCUUUGAGAACAUGGAGGGGCUGCUCUGUGUUCUUACCGCAUGGGACACUAGCUCCUCCAUCCUGGAGGUGCAUCAGGGGACAGGUAUUUUAGUCACUCACAUUCCUUCUCCAGGUUUGGAAUUUUCCACUGGGACAUUUAAAAAUAGAUGGGAAUUGAUCCUUUAAAUAUCUCUUGUAAGUUUCUUUCAAUUUUUUUCCCCGCUCUUUUAGAGUCCACCUUUCCCACUUAGUCUAUCUGGUGAGAGCUUUUUGAUCAAGCAGUUCAUACUUCUGCCAUAACUCUUCUCUAUAGUUUACUAAGAAUUAUCUACUUUUUUGUUAUUAAAAUUAGACAACAUUUCAAAGGAAUAGUUACUAGCAGUACAAUGAUGUUCUGUGCCUUAAGGCUCUGUCUUAUGUGACUUUCAGCCCCUCUCUCCCUCCACUUCUUUCUUGCUUUCUUUCUCCUGAAUAGGCACAUGGGCUCACUGAGACUGAGGCUGUGAGAAUGCAUUCUGGGUAUAUGACCUCAAAGUCGGCCACAGAUAACAAUGUCCAGAGGACCAAGAUAACAGCUGCCUGCAGCCCUCCCUCCUCCUGGAAGACACUGGCCAGAUUACAGGGAGCACAGACAGUCCCUGUAAAUAGAAAGUGAACAGAA
rnacentral:lncRNA from 1 species